CUAAUACCGCAUGAUACCUGAGGGUCAAAGGCGCAAGUCGCCUUAGGAGGAGCCUGCGUCUGAUUAGCUUGUUGGUGGGGUAAAGCCUACAAGGCACGAUCAGUAGCUGGUCUGAGAGGAUGAUCAGCCACAUUGGGACUGAGACACGGCCCAAACUCCUACGGGAGGCAGCAGUGGGGAAUAUUGGACAAUGGGCGAAAGCCUGAUCCAGCAAUGCCGCGUGUGUGAAGAAGGUCUUCGGAUUGUAAAGCACUUUUGGCAGGGACGAUGAUGACGGUACCUGCAGAAUAAGCCCCGGCUAACUUCGUG
rnacentral:rRNA from 1 species